GUUGAAUGCAAACACCGCUGGCGGAGUUAAAUAUACUCUUGGUGGAGUUAAUAAGCCACGCCCUAUUUCAAAUCGCGCAUCUCGGCCAUUGCCGACAGAGGAGAAGAAGGCGGUGGGUACGUCUGUUUGAAAAAGAUGCAGUUUCAAGAUGUCAUCAUGUUGCUGAAGGUGAAAUACCAGAGUACCAAAAAGUACAUCAGAUUACAGUCAGGUUUCACCUUUUUGGAUUUCAUCAAUGAAGUCAAAAACAAGUUUGGGCUUCCUGAUGACACUGAACUUGAUGUUUUUGAUGAAACCGACACAGCAGUGGAGGAAGACAUCUUUAUUGAACUGAUAGAGGCCAAUCCGGACUUAUGCCUGAAAGUACGUGACAGCAUUUCACAUGAAGUGGAUUACAAAAAAGCCACACUGCCUGAGCAGCUUGAUGGAGAUGCCUGCAGGGAAGCUAUUUCAUUUCUUGUUCACUCUCCU
ensembl:lncRNA